AAGUCGUAACAAGGUUUCCGUAGGUGAACCUGCGGAAGGAUCAUUAUUGAAUACUGAAUCGGUUCUGAUGCUGGCUCUUUACUGGGCAUGUGCUCGUCCGUUCAUAUUUACCUUCUCUUGUGCACAUUUUGUAGUCCUUUGGAACAAGUGAAUUUCGCGCUGCUGUGAUUAACUUCGCGGUGGUUGCGGUUUGGGGGAUUGGGUGUAACAGCCCUUCCUCUGUUCAUGCGCGCUGCUGCGAUUUACUUCGUGGUGACUGCGGUUUGGGGGUUGAGCGUCAGCACUUCCCCUGCUUUUGCUUUUUUCAAGGCUACGUUUUCAUAUACCCUAUACAAUGUUACAGAAUGUCUUUAAAGAUUGUGCUUGGUCGCAGUCAUUAAACCUAUACAACUUUCAGCAACGGAUCUCUUGGCUCUC
rnacentral:misc_RNA from 1 species